rnacentral:rRNA from 2 species
UACGAAGGGUGCAAGCGUUACUCGGAAUUACUGGGCGUAAAGCGUGCGUAGGUGGUUUGUUAAGUCUGAUGUGAAAGCCCUGGGCUCAACCUGGGAACUGCAUUGGAUACUGGCUUACUAGAGUGCGGUAGAGGGUGGCGGAAUUCCCGGUGUAGCAGUGAAAUGCGUAGAUAUCGGGAGGAACAUCCGUGGCGAAGGCGGCCACCUGGACCAGCACUGACACUGAGGCACGAAAGCGUGGGGAGCAAACAGG